AGUGGCGGACGGGUGAGUAACGCGUGGGUAACCUGCCUUAUACCGGGGGAUAACACUUAGAAAUAGGUGCUAAUACCGCAUAGUAUAAGAUGGACCCGCGUCUGAUUAGCCAGUUGGCAGGGUAACGGCCUACCAAAGCGACGAUCAGUAGCCGGCCUGAGAGGGUGAACGGCCACAUUGGGACUGAGACACGGCCCAAACUCCUACGGGAGGCAGCAGUGGGGAAUAUUGCACAAUGGGGGAAACCCUGAUGCAGCGACGCCGCGUGAGUGAAGAAGUAUUUCGGUAUGUAAAGCUCUAUCAGCAGGGAGACGGUACCUGACUAAGAAGCCCCGGCUAACUACGUGCCAGCAGCCGCGGUAAUACGUAGGGGGCAAGCGUUAUCCGGAUUUACUGGGUGUAAAGGGAGCGUAGACGGUGAAGCAAGUCUGAAGUGAAAGGUUGGGGCUCAACCCCGAAACUGCUUUGGAAACUGUUUAACUGGAGUACAGGAGAGGUAAGUGGAAUUCCUAGUGUAGCGGUGAAAUGCGUAGAUAUUAGGAGGAACACCAGUGGCGAAGGCGGCUUACUGGACUGUAACUGACGUUGAGGCUCGAAAGCGUGGGGAGCAAACAGGAUUAGAUACCCUGGUAGUCCACGCCGUAAACGAUGAUUACUAGGUGUUGG
rnacentral:rRNA from 1 species